UGAAUUCACGUGUCGCUUUCUGAGUGCGUCAUUGCCCUGACGCUGUGCAUGCGGUGUAUCUGGAGCAGCAGUAAACGGUUAUUUUCCUGGACACUUCUUCACCUUUAUUCAACAACAUGUCAUCUUUACUGAAAGUCGACCGCGAGCUGAAGAGCAAAGUGGAGACGUUCAGGACUCAGAUCAGCAGUGAGGCUGAGCACCUGGUUGCCUGCUUCUUCCCUAAAAAGCUCCUGGAGUUGGAUCAGUUUCUCAGGGUGAGAGACCUGACUGCAAA